rnacentral:lncRNA from 1 species
CCACAAUGGGUGAAUUGGGCAAUCGUGAACCAGGUCAUUCUAUCUGGUAGACGUAAGGCAGGUCUCUGCUGUUUGCAGUGGUUCUGGGGCUGGGGGAGGCUGCUGCUUCUCUGCCAGCCUCUUCUGCCCUCAGUGUGGCAUCCUGGUGGGGACGGGACAGCAGGGGUAGCUGGGGAUCCUGAGCAGAAGGCCUCCAAGGAUCAGUUUCAUUGCCUUCAAAGGCAGUUUUUAUUGCCUGUGAGUGGGUAGGUUCACCAGGCACAAACAAGCGAGCAAGCCUUACCUGAUCUCUUUUAAUGCCCAGAUUUUCUUUUUUAGCAGAGGGGGUGUGGAGGAAGGUAAUCUGCCAAGCCACGUAAAAAUUGUCCAUUGUUAGAACUCUAAAAUACACCAUUUGUUUAAUUCCAGGAAUGUCAGCCUCAAAACAAAAUCCAUGCCAGGCUCAGGUCAUCUGGCUGGUUCUCCUCACUCUUGACAUUUUAGACAACAGGACAUUCCAGGCCCCUGAGAGGGAAAAUGCAUGGCUUCGAGUCCCAGGACCGGAAUGCAGGCCUUGAAGGUUCUGCUGUUCCUGACAGUGGAAUGUGGAAGGUGGAUGGAACAUGGAAUUUUUCCUGAUCACGGCGGUUGGUGCUUGUGCUGCGUGGGCUGACUUCCUCUCCAGAGCCUGUAGUGUACUCAGGACACUCAGUCAUCUUCCUGGUCCUGGAUCACGAGGUUCUCAAUGAGACGUUCCGUUUUUAUUCUGAUCACCUUAAAUAGAGCACAACAAUGUGGUUUUGACAUUCUCUAACCUUCCCUUGCCUCAGUUUUCUCGUCUGUGUAACGGGUACAGAGAUAUCCCUUACCUCGCAGGAUUUCAGGUACUGUUUUCAGACUAGGAAAGUCCAAACUGGGAAUCUGUGAGCCUUUUUAUCGUUGAUGUUCUUCUUGCUUACCUUCUUUUUCUUUCCCCGAGAAAGACCUGUGGAUUAAACAGAAGGCAAAGUCAGACCGUUCGGAUGAAAAAGAGAACAGAAACCAGUGGAAGAAACUGGAAGGAAUAGACUUGCCACAGACCUGAGCCAUGAUGACUGGAGUAAGGGGGCAAUGAGGUUGCCCCUACUAUCCUUGUAGCUAAGGCAGUGAGGGGACACAUUGGGUGACGUGCAAUUCGCUUCCCGACGGCAGCAUCAAAUACACACUCACGUGCAGAAAUAAAUUCUUGGGAGCAGAAAGAGGGAAGGGAAUGCAGUAAGAAUUUAUUAUGUGGGUCCUUUAAGGAUAAAUGGCUUUGAGUGCUGUUUGCCGUGUCUGUAUGUCCGGCUUUACUAAUGAGAAGCUGCUAAAGGCAUGACUCUUUGGUGAAUCCUCCAGAAGAUCUGGGGACUUUGCCUUUAGCAGCCGAAUGUCUAAGAGGAAAUCACAGUGUAAAUGAAAGACAAAUCCACGUGGAUUCCCUUCUCUCCUUCUGCCCCAAACCCUGCCGUGGGGCAGCCACAUGACCCA